rnacentral:rRNA from 1 species
GAUGAACGCUAGCUACAGGCUUAACACAUGCAAGUCGAGGGGAAACGAUAUUGGAAGCUUGCUUCCGAUAGGCGUCGACCGGCGCACGGGUGAGUAACGCGUAUCCAACCUGCCCACCACUUGGGGAUAACCUUGCGAAAGUAAGACUAAUACCCAAUGAUAUCUCUAGAAGACAUCUGAAGGAGAUUAAAGAUUUAUCGGUGAUGGAUGGGGAUGCGUCUAAUUAGCUUGUUGGCGGGGUAACGGCCCACCAAGGCGACGAUCAGUAGGGGUUAUGGGAGGAAGCUCCCCCACAUUGGAACUGAGACACGGUCCAAACUCCUACGGGAGGCAGCAGUGAGGAAUAUUGGUCAAUGGGCGAGAGCCUGAACCAGCCAAGUAGCGUGCAGGAUGACGGCCCUAUGGGUUGUAAACUGCUUUUAUAAGGGAAUAAAGUGAGUCUCGUGAGACUUUUUGCAUGUACCUUAUGAAUAAGGACCGGCUAAUUCCGUGCCAGCAGCCGCCGUAA